UCAGAUGAUUGGAUGAUCGCUUUUUUUUAAAGAGGAAAGUCCGGGCUCCAUGAGAGACAGUGCCGGGUAAUACCCGGCGAGGGUGACCUUAGGGAAAGUGCCACAGAAAAUAUACCGCCUUAGGGCAAGGGUGAAAAGGUGCGGUAAGAGCGCACCGCUUAUAUGGUAACAUAUUUGGCAGGGUAAACCCCACUGGGAGCAAGACCAAAUAGGAAUAACGUUGGCUUAGCCAGAGAAUUUCUCUUUCUAGUUAUUCGGGUAGGUUGCUAGAAGUAUACGGUAACGUAUAUUCAAGAUGAAUGAUCAUCGCUUUUUUAAAGUACAGAACCCGGCUUACAAAUCAUCUGACAUU
rnacentral:RNase_P_RNA from 1 species